GAAUGUGGAUGCUGUUGCGUUUUCUCAGCGAACAUUUUCGGUUUCGUGGUGAUCGCAGAGGAAACGCAACAGCAUCCACAUUC